GCGUGACUUGGGUCAAGAGCUUGGCAGGAGGCUUUGGGAACAGUAGAAUCAACAGUGGUCAAGACUGAGAAGCCAGCACACUGGCCACCAUAAAACUGAAGAGAGAGCUUAUUGUACCUCACGCACAGCAGCAGGUUUAACAGAAAAUUAGACAUGUUUAUAGUCCCAGAUUUACAGCACGCCUUAUAAACACCUUAUUACUUAGAAUCCAGUCUGCUGUCCUAGAAACUAAGAAUGUGACUUUGUUAAGCAGGAGGAUUUGUUGACAUAAAUGUCUUGACUAAGUUUGCCAUUGCGGUUAACCAAAACGCACUUACUCCUGGGAAAGUAAACAGAAGCAAACAAAAUGCCUCUUAUACUACAAUACAUGUCUAUAGUAAGAGAAGCAUGCAGAAAAACACCAAGCUUUGGGUGCUCUUUUAUUUUCAUUACCUCGUCUACCUCUUGAGAAUGUCAGGCCUUCUCCAGCAUGCUGAAUGUCUGGCGGCUGAACUCAUCUUGGCAAAACACCUUGGAUUAUAUUGCUACAAAACAAAGGUCAGGACUGAGCUCACCUCUUAAAGACAGGAGAUCUAUGCAAUCAGAGACACAGCUGCUGGAAAGACUCCUGCUUCUUCAUGGUCACAGAAGAAAGGACAUUCUUUCCAGCAAAAGACACUGAUUUGCCAACUUGACUCAUGUGCCAAAGCUGUGGGAUCAUAUAAGAAAAUGGAAGAUGCUGUUUAGAUCUCAUGUUAGUAUCUCAGUACGAGCUAUUUCAAUCUCUCUCUAUGUUAUUACCUCAAUAAAUGCCAUUUGAGUCUUGCUGGAUAUUUUAAAAAACCAGAGCAUAUCUAUGACUGAUGAUGUAGAAUGCUUCCUUUUCUAUAGAGAAAG
ensembl:lincRNA uncharacterized LOC102025599